AUUCUCCUCUUCACAUUAGAGGCACAAGAAACUCGUUAAGACAGCCCAGUGUUCAGAGCACUCAUCUAGGGCUAAUUAGAGACACUUUUAGGCAAUCUCUUUGAGAAGGGACGUAAAAGGAGUAGGGAAAACAGAAAUCUAAUGCAUACGGGCCAAAAGCUUUGCAGAUCAACCUCUCUGUGAGCCUGCAGGAAACAAAACUCUGCAUCCUGGGCACGGAAAAUCGGAUUGCAUGGUUUCUUUCUUGUUCUCAUUUAACAAUAGACCCACCAGUGUUCCUGACCUUAAAAAAAACGACCCGGGUAUAUCCUAGCCGAGAACUGUUGCAGGGAUCAUAAAUACCAAAUGGUUCUCUCCAUUGUCAUUGAAGUGACAUGAGAUAAUGCUAUAUUUAAGGCUUCAAAGGGUGGGCAGCUUUACCCUUGGGUGCAUUCUUGCCGGGACAGUCAUUCUGGAUGCCAUCAAGUAACAGAGAAGGCAUCGUUCUUUUGUCCUUCAUCUUUCUUCAGGACUGGAAGCUUCGCCAACCCUCUCCAGUUUUGCCGCAGAUUAGGACAGCCACUGAAAACACCCACGUCUGGGAGAUUUCCCCUUCAAGCUUGUUCCACCAAGGUUCUUGGUCCAGAAAUGCUUCAAUCAGAGUGUGGAGGAUGGAUUUGGGAGAUCUGGUCUCAAAUCCCCACCGGGACAUAGAGUUCCCAAGCUGCAGCCUUGAUUCUCCAGCUGAACCCCCAAGACCUGGAUUCCAUACUUCUGAAUGUAUAAGGUUUGCUCCCCAAAAUAGAGUCUUAUUAUUUAUAUGGUUAUCACUGCGCCAGGAGUCCAGGGCUGCUGCGGUCAACUGGGUUUCGGAUGGGGGCAAAAUAAUACUCUUUUGUGCAUUUGUUUGCAUUUGAUCUUCUAAGCAUUCGGGCAGCAUCUAAAAAGAGCCAGCAAGCGGUCCUAAAAGUGGAGGGCCAACGGCAUAUCAGGCUCCCUCCUUUGGCAGCCGGUCCCUCGAAAUGGACCCAGGCCAAGGGCAGUUUCAUUGUCCGUCUCCCUAUUUCAAGCUCUAGGAAAGGGACCGACUUUGCUCUGCUUGGAUAGAGUUCAGACUUUAGAAGCAACACGUUAACAGGCCAGGUUGUGAUCUGAAAGGAGAUGCUUCCUCUCUCCUGCUCCCCAUGCCAAACAAAGCUGUAAUAGAGUUGCGUUUGGAAAAAACAACAUACCAAGUGGAAACACCAUUACAUCGGUUUUAGGGCAACAAAAAUGUGUUGUAGCUACUUUGUCUAAUUCUCUUUAAAGAACAUUUUAAACUGUUUAGAGGCCAUCAACCAGGCUGAUAGCUGCGGUUCGAUCAGCUUUUCCCCUUCUUCAAGGAAAUUAGCAAGUCCUUGUUCUCCUUUCGGUCUCCUGUAAUGAAAAGCCGGUCAGUGUACUUGGACACACGGAAGCUAGAAAUAUCUGUACAAUACUCAAGUCUAGGUUUAAUCUUGUAGCAAUAAAUACAAGAUUUCUUUUUCUUUCA
rnacentral:lncRNA from 1 species